GCUGGUGCAUGCUGCCUGUUUGGUGGUCC
rnacentral:piRNA from 1 species